rnacentral:tRNA from 2 species
GGGCUCGUGGUCCAAUGGUAAGAUACUGCUUUCGCAUGGCAGAGAUGCGGGUUCGAUUCCCGCCGAGUCCA